CAGCCACAUCACGUUGAAACACCGAUUCUCGUACGAUCACCAAAGUUAAGCAAUAUCGAGCCUAGUGAGUACAUAGAUGGGUGACUGCAGAAGAAUACCAGGUGCUGUAGG